rnacentral:rRNA from 1 species
UACGUAGGGGGCGAGCGUUGUCCGGAAUUAUUGGGCGUAAAGAGCGCGCAGGUGGUUGAUUAAGUCUGAUGUGAAAGCCCACGGCUUAACCGUGGAGGGUCAUUGGAAACUGGUCGACUUGAGUGCAGAAGAGGGAAGUGGAAUUCCAUGUGUAGCGGUGAAAUGCGUAGAGAUAUGGAGGAACACCAGUGGCGAAGGCGGCUUCCUGGUCUGUAACUGACACUGAGGCGCGAAAGCGUGGGGAGCAAACAGGAUUAGAUACCCU